CGCCCUUUGGUUUUUGUUUCCACUGCUUCUAUUUUCAAGGCUCCCACGCACAGCUCUGAGGCGCCGCGGGGCCCUACGCACGUCAACCCACACCUGAAGGCAUAAAUAGGCACAAAGUUAAUACCUCACUGCACAAAAGGCAGCAACAACUAGAAGCGCAGAAGAUGAGGUGGAGGUGGAAAGGAAGAGCUUCAGGAACUUCCCAAGCAAAGCCAACUGACCUCCGUUACCUGCCAACAGAAAUCUCAGGCAUUUCGUUUGCCUUUCCCAGUGCUGUGCCUUUAACACAUUUUAUUGUCCCACCACGCUUCCAGAAAGUUGCUGCGUUCUACCUGGAAUCACAGACCGCAGCGUGGGAUUUUGGCAACCUCCUCUCUGCUACAGCUGUUAAAAUUUAUUGCCCAGCAGAACUCAUCCAUCCCACAAGCCACGUUGGGUACAAAGGGACUCAUUCAGGCACCGGGGUGGCUCCUCGUGGAGUCCCAU
rnacentral:lncRNA from 1 species